AGGAGCAGGUAAACAGCUCUGACAUUUGGCUGGUAGGCAUCUCUGUGUCCUGUGCUCUCUUGGCAGCUACAGCUUAGAAAGUCGCAUCCAGGCUCUGUGCUGACGCCUUCGCUCAGGCUGUGCGUUUCUAGCAGGGUUUCUGAAGGCGGGUGGGAAAAACGAAAAGAGGAGAGUGGUCUCGGAAUCUUCGGGAAGCGGGACCCGNGCCUUCUACCUCAGUGGAAACAAACAUAGGUGGGUCUUGGAGGAGGGACUGAGUCGCAGUUCGAGGGCGGACCGCAGCGGCUCAGGGGAAGGUGACUGUGAGAUCCACCGUACCCAGUCGGAACAGUCGGCCUGAACAGGGCUUUAAUGGUGGCUUUAUCCGAAGACUGCGCUAGGAGUGUUUGGAUCUGUGAUUCCAUCUGUCCAAAAGGGCCAAUACGGACGCUCUGCCAAGGAGGUCAGUAUCUGGACUGGUCUCAGCUGGGAAAUGACUGUAUUUUCCUGCCUUCAGGGACAGAUGAAGUUGAUGUCAUCAGUGCUUUGAGGCUGCUAAAUUCUGGGUGUUCAGUCCCACAUCCAGUGGCUCCUGCUGAGUCUUCUCAAGGCUCCAUUUCCAUCAAGCUAGCACCAAGGUUCAUUACAACAUAGCUGUGUCCACUAAUUGCACAGUGUUUUGAGUGGAGAAUCUAGGACCAAGCCAUGACUAUCCUCUCACUCUCAUGACUCUAUACGAUUCUCCUUCUCUCGAGUGUAUCCCAGUAUCCUCUGCGUGUUUCCAGGGGCAAAACCAAAACCAAGCAACUUACAAACAUCAUGAAUGAAUAUGUGGUGAGUUAUUCCCCAGUGUACUAUCUGUUGUUAUGUUAUUUGUAUUCAUAGUCUGACCAUCAGUAAGACCUGCCUAAAUUUACAGAGAGAAUUAAACUUUAAUUCCUAUUAAUACUAAUGUAGCAACAUUUAGUAAAUCAUAGUUUUCCUUAUUGCUACAGAUCAUUAAUAUUUCUCCCAUAUUUAAAAUAUCUUUGGCCACUGUCAUUUCCACCAUGAUGCUUUGCCCCUUCCGGAACUGGUUGAAAUCAUGAUUAAGUUGGUUCUUAGUUAACCCCGCCCUCCAUCCACAUCCAGUGCGUAGUGCGUAGUGAAGAGGCUGCAGGUGCAUCCAUGGUGGGCACUUGUAGAAGGCAAGGUGCUGGGGGUCGGGGGGCGGCGUGCCCUGUGCACACUGAUUUACUCCCAUUAGGCACCUAUGCCAGUUCUUUGUUAGAAGCCUAGUCCGGGUCCGUGCUUCAUGUAUCUUCAUUCUGCUUUUUGGCUCUUGCAAGUCUCUUAGUUGAUACUCUCUUUCUCUAGCAAAUACCUAAGUUUGCAAUUGGCCAUCUUCUUUCACUUAUGUCAGCCAAAUACUCAGAGGCCUCCGUUCCAUUUAGUCUGUGUGUUNGUGCAUGUUGGGACUCCAGCCAAGGGUCUUAUGAGCAUUAAGCGUUUGUUCCCUUAUUACUGACACACCCUGCACUGUCCCCGUUUCUGCCUCCUUCUUCCUGUGCUUUCUUUUUUCUGAUGGUGGCCUUAUUCCAGGAAACGA